AGUUUUGGGCUUACCAUACGAAAAGAAAAGCCCAAAUUAGGCUGAAACUGGGCCUGUCAUAAGGAUUAAGCCAAUGAUUCUGUGUCUACUCUGGUCUCUUGCUCCACGUCCAACUACAGAUGAUAUUAAAUGCCAUUUCGGCCCCUUCAUUAUAGUGCUCCCACUAGCCCUAGACUUCCACACAACAAUGGCCUACUCUAUCUCUCCGGCGAAGCCGAUUUGUGCCGGUCGCCGAUCAUUUUCUUGUUCGCUUAUUGUGGAUCUGAGCCUCCGUUUUUCUGUUCUUGAUGUUCCUAUUUUUUUUGUUCUGGGUUUUGCCCAAUGAUGCACAUCAUAAACGUAUUGAGCGGUUGCAAAUGGUAGUUUUAGUUCACUGUAGUCUCACUUACCACCACUUUCGCUACCACUACCAUCUCCUCCGCCGUCUCUUUAUUCAUAAACAUACACACACACUCACACACAAGUGUUGUGGUGGCGUGUGAAGGCUUUUGAUGGACGCCAUUUGUGUUAAAUCCGUGGAUGAUUUGUUCAAAGCUAUGAGAUCUGAGGGCUUUUUUUUUUUUUAUUUUUUAUCUAAUUUUUCCUUUCUGAUGUAAACCGUAUAUACAUUUUUCCUUAACGGUGCUCGUAUUGGCUUUGCAUGUAUGCUUUAUUGGGUCUCUGGGCCUGAUGGACUAGAGUUUGGAUGUUUGUUUAGUCGUUGAAUUGGUCAUUUUUGUAUUUAAUAUAUUGAUUUGUGUAAAUUUCCCCACUAGUUAGAUGGUGGGUGUUUGGUAUUUGUGUUGGACUAUUGUGGAUGAUGAUACAUGCACUGGGCUCUGAAUUAUUGAUGGAACUGCAAGCCUAGAAAGCUCUGUCUGACUUCCUUCUCUUCAUUUUUUCCAGUCUUGAUGGCUUUAGGAAAUAUGAUGAGCUAUUUGAAUAGUUGGCCGCAAACUUUACCUAUGUUUGUUCCUUUCUCUGUGUUUAUCGUUACUAUUUAUAACUCUUAUUUUUUUGGGUUUUAAUACUUGUGGUGUCAGUUCUUCUUUUAUUUAGAGCUGACUGUUAUUCCUGGUUCCUUUAUGCAUUAUUUGAGAGCUUCUGUCUUUAACAUUUGCUUUGCCCGAACUGAUGACCUCUGAUUAAGUGGGACAGUUGCUUUGAUUUUCACUAUCUGCCUCCAUCUUCACUUUCAGCACUCCUGUCUCCAGGUGUACUGGCUGCUGCUGGUGGUGGUGGUGAUGGUGGUUUUUGUUGUUGUUCUAAUUUGAUCUGUUAUCACUGAAGAUAUUGAUUGACUUUUAAUGAAAAUCAUAUGCUUCACUGCCUGAAAUUACAACGGUUUGAUCUGAGGACUUUAUACAGUUAUUCUAAAUUUGCCUAUUUUUGGGUAUGCAGAAUAUUAUAAUUUGUAUAAUGCUCCAGAAUAUUAUAUUAUGCAAUUUGAGUUUAUCAACUUUGUUAUAUCUUCUGUCAUCUACUUUGUUGUGCAAUAGUUGGAUAUUAGCAUCCUGAGAGUUAUUCUCUCACUGCCCAAUGAUGGAUAAUGAGAUGUUAAUUGAGUGAUUGCUAGGGUGUUCACUGAGAGCAUUUUUUGCCAUCUACACUCUAGUAUCAGCAUUAUUAUAAUCUCUCUCUCUCUCUCUCUCUCUCUCUCUCUGUCUCUUUCUUUCUUUCUUUCUUUCUUUACUAGGGUUGAUGUUGUGGGAAGGCUUUCAGUGAAAACUACAACCUCGAUGACCUACGAUAGCUUUGAUGUCUGAGGGCACUUUUGAUUUUAUGCAUCCUUAUGGUUCCAUAUUUUUUCUCUCCUUCUGAUCUUAUCAAGAGGAUAAACAUCAUUAUACACGUAGUAUCAUUAUAUUUGUUCAGUCUAGAAAAACCCUCUUUUCUAAAAAGUUGAGUCUUAGAUUUUUUUGAUGGAUUCAUCUGGUUCUGUUUAACGUAUUUUAUGUAGAUUUUAUGUUGCUGAGGAAUGCAGCUGAUUCUUCUAGUUAAAGUUUUUGUGCACCUAUAUGUAUUUUUGUGGCUUAUAAAUUUGUGAAGACAGGUAUAUGUUGGAUGAUUUUUUUUUGCUGUAGUCAUUUUCACUUCUAUGCUUUUGCAAUGUUGAUUUGAACCAAAUUAUCUCACUAAGGAACCACACUCAUUUUGUUUUCUUAGUUAUGUCUAUUAAAGUGCUCAAAGAUGAGAACUCAUUAUUCAGAGUGGUGACUUUGUUUUUCAGUGUGAGCCUCCUCUAUUUCUUACUUCCCCUCUUACCUCAUUAUUAUUAUUAUUAUUGGUGGUGGUGGUGGUGGUGGUGGUGGUGUUGGUUGUUGUGAUGGUGGUUGUUUCCUUUAUCAUUUGAGAGAUGAGGAGGUUCCAUAUGAAAAACAGUGGCUUGACCAACUAUGAACAUCUUGGAGCUAUGAGAUCUGAGAGCUUAACGUUUUACAACAAACAAUAAUAUGUUGGUGGGUGGUUCAAAGUUCAAAUGCAGAUGCUAUCGAAGGAUAUGUUGUGAAAUAUGGAUGCUCAUGGAGUUGACUGUGUUGGAGUUAUGCCACAGGUCCGCUUCAAAGGUGAUUGAAGCCCCAGGUUUGGGUAAUAUUAGGCUAAUCAAAUUUUAACAUGUUUUACAAGAUUGUAAUGCUGCGAUGAUACUGAUGGCCCAGAGAAUUUGUUGGAUGUUAUGGUACAGUAAUUUAAUGUGAUGUUACAGUAGUGACUAAUUAUCCAAUUUGUAAGCAUUAUUUAUCAAAUGGAAUAUCUAUUAGCCGAUCGGAUCA